AUGGUUCCUUAGAUCGUUUCUUCCUACUUGGAUAACUGUGGCAAUUCUAGAGCUAAUACAUGCAGUGAGCCUGGAGCCCUUUGGGUAACGGGUGCUUUUAUUAGACCAAGAUCGAUCGGGUUUCGGCCCGUAUUGUGUGGUGACUCUGGAUAACUUUGUGCUGAUCGCAUGGCCACGAGCCGGCGACGUUUCUUUCAAGUGUCUGCCUUAUCAACUUUCGAUGGUAGGUUACUUGCUUACCAUGGUUGUUACGGGUAACGGAGAAUCAGGGUUCGAUUCCGGAGAGGGAGCCUGAGAAACGGCUACCACAUCCAAGGAAGGCAGCAGGCGCGCAAAUUACCCACUCCCGGCACGGGGAGGUAGUGACGAAAAAUAACAAUACGGGACUCUUUUGAGGCCCCGUAAUUGAAAUGAGUACACUCUAAAUCCUUUAACGAGGAUCAAUUGGAGGGCAAGUCUGGUGCCAGCAGCCGCGGUAAUUCCAGCUCCAAUAGCGUAUACUAAAGCUGCUGCGGUUAAAAAGCUCGUAGUUGGAUCUCAGUUCCAGACGAGUAGUGCAUCUACCCGAUGCGACGGCUCGGACUGAACAUCAUGCCGGUUCUUUCUUGGUGCACUUCAUUGUGUGCCUCGAGAUGGCCGGUGCUUUUACUUUGAAAAAAUUAGAGUGCUCAACGCAGGCGAGUCGCCUGAAUAAACUUGCAUGGAAUAAUAGAACAAGACCUCGUUUCUGUUCUGUUGGUUUUUGGAAUACGAGGUAAUGAUUAAGAGGGACGGACGGGGGCAUUCGUAUUGCGGCGCUAGAGGUGAAAUUCUUGGACCGUCGCAAGACGAACUACUGCGAAAGCAUUUGCCAAGAAUGUUUUCAUUGAUCAAGAACGAAAGUCAGAGGUUCGAAGGCGAUCAGAUACCGCCCUAGUUCUGACCAUAAACGAUGCCAACCAGCGAUCCGCCUGAGUUACUCAAAUGACUCGGCGGGCAGCUUCCGGGAAACCAAAGUAUUUGGGUUCCGGGGGAAGUAUGGUUGCAAAGCUGAAACUUAAAGGAAUUGACGGAAGGGCACCACCAGGAGUGGAGCCUGCGGCUUAAUUUGACUCAACACGGGAAAACUUACCCGGCCCGGACACUGGGAGGAUUGACAGAUUGAGAGCUCUUUCUUGAUUCGGUGGAUGGUGGUGCAUGGCCGUUCUUAGUUGGUGGAGCGAUUUGUCUGGUUAAUUCCGAUAACGAACGAGACUCUAGCCUAUUAAAUAGGUGCGGGGUUCCCAGCACCUUACAACCUUCUUAGAGGGACAAGCGGCUCCUAGCCGCACGAAACAGAGCAAUAACAGGUCUGUGAUGCCCUUAGAUGUCCGGGGCCGCACGCGCGCUACACUGAAGGAAGCAGCGUGUCUUUAUCCCUGUCUGAAAAGACUGGGUAACCCGUGGAACUUCUUUCGUGAUUGGGAUAGGGGCUUGCAAUUGUUCCCCUUGAACGAGGAAUUCCCAGUAAGCGCGAGUCAUAAGCUCGCGUUGAUUACGUCCCUGCCCUUUGUACACACCGCCCGUCGCU
rnacentral:rRNA from 1 species